GGGAGGCGCGCGCGGGACGCGCAGCCGCACUCCGAAGCUCCCCCGCCGCCUGCCGCGUGGGCGGGGCUGUCCCGGCCGUGGAAAAUUACCGCGGCUGCUCUUAAAGGGCUGACUCAAGGGGCAAGAAGAUGAGACCUCUGCCUUUCACUGCUGGCCACAACUUCACCUGAGAGUGGAAACCUGGUGUUUUCAAG
rnacentral:lncRNA from 1 species